rnacentral:rRNA from 1 species
GACGAACGCUGGCGGCGUGCUUAACACAUGCAAGUCGAACGGAAAGGCCCUGCUUGCAGGGUACUCGAGUGGCGAACGGGUGAGUAACACGUGGGUGAUCUGCCCUGCACUUCGGGAUAAGCCUGGGAAACUGGGUCUAAUACCGGAUAGGAGCCAUUUUUAGUGUGAUGGUUGGAAAGUUUUUUCGGUGUAGGAUGAGCUCGCGGCCUAUCAGCUUGUUGGUGGGGUAAUGGCCUACCAAGGCGGCGACGGGUAGCCGGCCUGAGAGGGUGGACGGCCACAUUGGGACUGAGAUACGGCCCAGACUCCUACGGGAGGCAGCAGUGGGGAAUAUUGCACAAUGGGCGCAAGCCUGAUGCAGCGACGCCGCGUGGGGGAUGACGGCCUUCGGGUUGUAAACUCCUUUCGCUAGGGACGAAGCUUUUUGUGACGGUACCUAGAUAAGAAGCACAGGCUAACUACGUG